rnacentral:lncRNA from 1 species
GCUCUUGGGCCUUUGGCCACAGACUGAAGGCUAUACUGUCAGCUUCCCUACUUUUGAGGGUUGGGGACUUGCGUUGAGCCACUACUGACUUCCUUGCUCCUCAACUUGCAGAUAGCUUAUCCUGGGACUUGACCUUGUGAUCAUCUCUUGGAGUCGGAUACUUACUUGGAGGAACUCAUCGCGACACCGGGAUCCCCUCCCCAUUCCUGGGUGAGUGAGAGAUCAAGGGCUUGGAAGAACACAUCCUAUUGGGAGCGACCUGAGCCCAUCGUCUGCAAAUUUGGUCACAAUAAUGAAGAUGAAGACUAUUGACCUACCCAGAACUGGAAGUGCAUUUAGCAAUAGAUAGAAAUGAAGUGUACUUUUUGGAUGUGGUGCGAAAGAAAGUGAAAUCCCUAAGAUAUAGAGGUAAGUAACAAAUGCAACAAGUAACAUAACUUAAAGUAAUCGCCUCUGGGAAGCAGUGAAUGAUAGGACUAUUUUCGAAGAGCGGCUAAGAGACUAACAUUUCUCCUGAAGAAAGGCUUGCCACUUAAAGUGACAUAUGAGUUGGAGAAAUAAUUAUAAUUUUGCCAAAAAAAAAUCAUUUAAAAAGGAGAUUGUAUGAAAUGGGAGAAUAAAAUAUAAUACUAUCUAAGAGAAGAAACAAUGUUCUUGCAUGGGUAAGCAACCAUACUGACAGCAAAAGGAAUUG